AACGAACGCUGGCGGCAUGCCUAACACAUGCAAGUCGAACGAGACCUUCGGGUCUAGUGGCGCACGGGUGCGUAACGCGUGGGAACCUGCCCUUAGGUUCGGAAUAACUCCCCGAAAGGGGUGCUAAUACCGGAUAAUUUCUUCGGACCAAAGAUUUAUCGCCUUUGGAUGGGCCCGCGUUGGAUUAGCUUGUUGGUAGGGUAAAAGCCUACCAAGGCGACGAUCCAUAGCUGGUCUGAGAGGAUGAUCAGCCACACUGGGACUGAGACGCGGCCCAGACUCCUACGGGAGGCAGCAGUGGGGGAUAUUGGACAAUGGGCGGAAGCCUGAUCCAGCAAUGCCGCGUGAGUGAUGAAGGCCUUAGGGUUGUAAAGCUCUUUUACCCGGGAUGAUAAUGACGGUACCGGGAGAAUAAGCUCCGGCUAACUCCGUG
rnacentral:rRNA from 1 species